UUCUAUGUGAACAUUUAUUUAUUUUGGCUUAUAUAUUGACUGGCUAGGAAAAAAAAUCAAGAUAAAAACCAAGAGUGAUGUAGGAAGGAAAUAAAGCCCAAUUUCAAAAACCCUGGUAUUUAACCAUCCACAGGUACAAAUAAAUACUGCCCAGAAUCUGUCACAAUUGGUCAUGAAUAGGCUCAGCUGCAGCUUCGUAUGUGGUGGAAUGAUCUAGACGAAGAUGGUCGAGAUUGGGUAAAAGAGCAAUUGGAUGCCCUUGUAGACGUUAUGGAAAUCAAAUCGCGGGAGGAUCUAAUCAAGGCUUUGGUAACGUUUUGGG
rnacentral:lncRNA from 1 species